rnacentral:rRNA from 1 species
CGGGACGACGCCGCGUGGUGGAUGAAGGCCCUCGGGUUGUAAACACCUGUCGUAGGGGAGGACAUUUUAACCGAUCCUAGGAGGAAGCACAGGCUAAGUUCGUGCCAGCAGCCGCGGUAAUACGAACUGUGCAAACGUUAUUCGGAAUCACUGGGCUUAAAGGGUGCGUAGGCGGAUUUGUAGGUCAGAUGUGAAAUCCCACGGCUCAACCGUGGAACUGCGUUUGAAACCACAAGUCUUGAGGGGAUCAGAGGAGAGCGGAACUGAUGGUGGAGCGGUGAAAUGCGUUGAUAUCAUCAGGAACACCGGUGGCGAAAGCGGCUCUCUGGGAUCUUUCUGACGCUGAGGCACGAAAGCUAGGGGAGCGAACGGGAUUAGAUACCCCGGUAGUCCUAGCUGUAAACGAUCUGUACUAGUCCGUGGGGGCUCCCACACCUUCUCGGACGUAGCGAAAGUGUUAAGUACAGCGCCUGGGGAGUAUGGUCGCAAGGCUGAAACUCAAAGGAAUUGACGGGGGCUCACACAAAAC